GCCCAACUUUGCAUGUGAUACCUUUUCGGAAAGCCCAAAGACAGCCCUCCGACGAAAGAAGCAGGACAAUGGAAGCUUUCCAUUGACUUUUUGUCGACCCCAAAUUUUGACCUUUAAGUACUUUUUCGGGCAUUUUCGUGAUUUGGGCUAUAUUACGGACCCAAAAUUACUUGUUCAAGCAUUGUUUUCGAAUUUUUUCAUGCAUCAAAGCUCGUUAAGACUAGAUGGGGUAUCCCUACAUAGCGGAUGGGACCCACGGCGAAUGGUUCAUCAAGUCUUCAAAAAAGAAUAUAUACGAUUGCAUUGCAUAUACUAACGGAUGCGAUCAUACCAGCACUAAUGCACCGGAUCCCAUCAGAACUCCACAGUCAAACGUGCUUGGGCGAGAGUAGUACUAGGAUGGGUGACCUCCCGGGAAGUCCUCGUGUUGCAUCCCUCUCUUAUGUUUAACCUUUUUUGUUUUGGUUAAAACUUUAUGACUCCAUAACUUGUAGACAG
rnacentral:rRNA from 1 species